rnacentral:rRNA from 1 species
AGUGAACGCUGGCGGUAGGCCUAACACAUGCAAGUCGAACGGCAGCACAGUAAGAGCUUGCUCUUACGGGUGGCGAGUGGCGGACGGGUGAGGAAUACAUCGGAAUCUACUUUUUCGUGGGGGAAAACGUAGGGAAACUUACGCUAAUACCGCAUACGACCUACGGGUGAAAGCAGGGGAUCUUCGGACCUUGCGCGAUUGAAUGAGCAGAUGUCGGAUUAGCUAGUUGGCGGGGUAAAGGCCCACCAAGGCGACGAUCCGUAGCUGGUCUGAGAGGAUGAUCAGCCACACUGGAACUGAGACACGGUCCAGACUCCUACGGGAGGCAGCAGUGGGGAAUAUUGGACAAUGGGCGCAAGCCUGAUCCAGCCAUACCGCGUGGGUGAAGAAGGCCUUCGGGUUGUAAAGCCCUUUUGUUGGGAAAGAAAAGCAGCAGGUUAAUACCCCGCUGUUCUGACGGUACCCAAAGAAUAAGCACCGGCUAACUUCGUG